CAAAAAUAUUUUACAGGGGGGAAACUAGAAAUGACCUAUAUUACAGGGAUAAAGACCUAUUAACCCUAUAUAUAAACCCUCUUAUUUUAUCAUAAAUAGUAUGCAUGCAGUUUAACGUGCCUUGAGGCGUGUGUUAUAAAUGAUCUAAGAUAAUUAAUGAUUUGAUCCAUUGUUAAUCAUGUUAUGGACUAUUCCCUGCAUAGGGUAAUAAUCUUAGGUAUCAUUGCUAGGUUCAAUCUGUACUACUGUUAUUGGGAGGGCGUGAAGUACCUCCAACCUUACCUUCCAUGCCAAUUUCUCCGGACGAAAAUAACCAGGGAUUUAUUGGUACGCCAGAAAAAUUUAGCGUCCCUCAGAGAUUAGCUUCGUUGAUUAGAUUUCAUGAAAAGCGGAAGGAACGAAAUUUUGACAAAAAAAUUCGUUAUACUGUUCGUAAAGAAGUAGUAGCAUUGAGGAUGCAAAGAAAUAAAGGCCAAUUUACAUCCUGAUGAGUCAAGUGAAGGUUUGACGGCAGACAAUAAUGGAUCCCAACAGCAAGAUACUGUGGAGCGCUUAGGGACUUAUCAAGGGCAGCAACCUUGCCGGCACAAACUUCUCCAUUAAACAAGAAUGAGAAUAAUAAUUUAGAGGCCAAUCAGAUAGUGCUUAGAGAUGCCGCUGAACCCUCAUGACAGACCUUUACAUUUUGGUUCCGAUGGAAGGCGAUUCCAUGAAACAAGGGACAUGGUAGAGAGCGCCUUCCCCUUGAUGAGAAGGUAUAGGAGAGGUAGUUAUACACCUUUUUGGUGAAAUUGAUUAGAUGAUCAUUAUGUACUUGAUUUUACAUAUUACACUGCUAGUUCUUUUGGAGAUUUUGAUUGAGUGGCCAAACAUCUCCUUUGCACUCUUGUAUACAGUUUUAUAUACACUGUCGGCGGCUGCAGAUGAUGCAGCAUUUUGAGAAA